UACAGGCCUGGGUUUUCUUGGUGCUGGUGGGCACUGUUUGAUCGCUGGGAUUUUGUGAUCCAAAGAUGCUGGUGUUUUGAAUCCAUAAUUAUCACCUUCGGUUGCCUCCAAUUCUCCGAGAGAUAGCGGCCUUAAAGAAUCUCUCGUCUUGGAUUCUUCUUGUUCUUGUUGAUGCCACUGAAGAGUAAUAAUCCCAGUUUCAUCAGAAUCAGUAAAAUCUACGGUUGGUCUCUCCAAGAGAUUGUAUUCGAUCUUUUCUUUAUUUUCUUUGACGAGAAGCA
rnacentral:misc_RNA from 1 species